rnacentral:tRNA from 11 species
GGGCGAUUAGCUCAGCUGGGAGAGCAUCUGCCUUACAAGCAGGGGGUCACAGGUUCGAGCCCUGUAUCGCCCACCA